GAAACAGGACUACUAUACUAGUUGGGGAUUAAACUACCCAAAGAGAUGAAUUCCUACUACUCUGGAAAGCCUUAGCCUUUGACUCUAGAAUGAAACCUAGAAACUCUAAACUACUGGCAAAGAAUAAAUAUAGCAACUAUUAACUACUGGCAAAGAAUGAACUCAGUACUAGCAUCGAGGAAUCGGUUGGCUUACUCCCUCAUAGCUUAGGGCUUACUCAUAAGUUGACGGAUUAUAAUAAGGCUCCCUUCUUCUGGGCUUACUCAUAACAAGUGGUGGGCCUGCUCUGGCUCUUUUAAUUACUUCUAUUUACAAAGAUAGUAGCCGGAGUCUUAUACUAACCACUCAAGUUCUGGCAACUUAAUCUAAGGGCAACCUCGGAUCCUAUACCUCUGGCUACAAGAACUAUCCUUUUGCUCAUAUACAAGAAUUCUUAUCCUACCGAACACACACAGGACUGGACUCGUUCUCAACUUUCUUGUGGACUUCUCCAGCUUCUAAGUAUUACUCUUAUCCUUCUCAUUCUUCUGAGUCACAGAUACAGAAGAGGUCCAUUCUUUCUCAGUAUUAGCAAGGGUGUCAAGUGAGUAGGCUAAAAUGCACUAGAACAGAACAAAAGUCGUUUUCUGGUCAAUGACAUGAAAAACUUCUUGGCGAUGCGAAAUGCAGCUCCUUUUAUUGUAUAUAAAUUCUGGUCUCAAGUAUCAAACCUUAAAGUAGUGCUCCAGUUGCAUCAGUGAGAGUUGAGGCCCUUAUAGUCAGUUUGCAAGUACUGUGAUAGUUUCAUGCCCAGUUGAACCCCUUAUUGAAUUCGUUGUCGGUGGAAAGGGAACCAGCUGACUAGAUCUUAUGGUCAGAGGGCUGACUAGAUCUUAUGAUCAGAGAAUUAAUACCCGAGUGACUUGGCUGAUAGCAAUGAUUCACUUCAAGUCCACUAACCCAACAGAGGAAUAUGUUUCAAGAAGAAAGCAAUCUUGCUAGUAAGUAGGCAAAAGGCAAAGGUGAACUCAGCUAUCAAAGACAGGACUUGCUACUAUUUAUGUGCUCGGGAGCCAAGUAUUUAUAAGUUGCAAGUAGUGAAUUCCAGAAUUGACCUAAGCAGCAUCGGAAUCAAACUCUACAGCCCUUAUUCUAAUUCGGCCGAGCACCAACUAACAGAAUGUAACCACUGGGGGCAAGACUUCAACAAGGUAGUCAAAUAAUUCCAAUACAACUAGAAGCGGGGGAUCAGGGGGGCUUUGGAGAGGUGUCUUAGCCUUACACUUACUGGUGUAAUUCUUGACUUCAGUACUUAUAGCUUAGCUUCAAAGCCAACUUACUAUAAGGGCAACUACUACUGUGCAUUCAGCUCAUCUAACAACUUAAUAUAAGGGCAACAAUUCUUCAUUCUGAUCUUACUACCAGUGAGUGGAAUUAAGAGAUCCGUUCACCUAUAUAAAGAGAAUAUAACAUCCAGUAGAUUUUCCUAUACUAAGUCAGUACUGAGUUGGUACAUGAUAAAGAUGUCGACUUUUCUUCUUUAUUUAGCUAUUCCUAGGGUGUUAAGUCGACUCGAGACUCCUUCCCAAAAGUGAACCGAUCCCUUUCCCUAACUAGCAAGUAAGUAAACUAAGUCAGUAAACUAAGUAAGUCAACAAGCCUACCCGGAGACAAAGUCAGCAAGCAAAGGAAAGGAGUGUACUCUCUAGUUACAUACAGAUUUCUAUACUAACCUAUCAAUGAACGUGAAUUCAUAAAUUCAAAAGGUGAACUCGCAAUUAAAGGCGACCUAGGAUUCCAGUCUUGUAUUAUUUCCUUCCCGCUCCAUGGGCUAUCUUAACUUCCAACACAGAGAUCCUUGUCUGAACUCCCUUCCUUCCCUUUUGCCGAGUUAACGUUAACAAAUACUUUCUUUUUGAAUCCGUCGUGGUCAACUUUCAAACUCAUAACUAAACUAUCAAAGCAGCUUACUUUCGCCUUAACUGGACUGGAGCAGAACCAUUCUCGUCGACAACACCUUUCUUUCGCACAGAUCCUUCUUAUCAUUUUGAUUAAGAUCUAAUUACCACCUAUGGUAUAUACUAAAUCUAAACUUAACCGAUUGGGACUGACAUGCCUUAACGCUUUCUUAAUUCAUUUCCUCUCUCGCGGUCAGGUUAACACAACUAUCCCUGAUGUCACUGACGAACUUGAUCCUUCCUUUGCCGAAGAUCCUUAUUCUAUAACAGCUAUUUAUUCUCUUACUGCCGAUUCAGUUACUCGAUUUUUAGUUUGAAGGCGAUGGCUCACUGCCGCCCUUUUAGCUCCUACCGCCCUUUUAGCUCCUACCGCUUGGAACUCGCUACCGCCCUGACUGAAUACCAGACUCCAGAAUUACGAGUUAUAAUACAUCUAUUUGCCCGAACACAGGACUUGGGGAAGAAACUGAAUCCGGGUUGACUGUUCCAACAAACUGAUUCCACAGCUUCCCGACCCGACCUCGACUCAAGCUUGCUUCCUUGCCGGAUAGCUUUCAUUGCUUCCCUUUCAGACCAGACCCGACCUAAACUCUCAAGUGAGAAUGGAAUUGCACCUAUGGAGCACCCGGCUUCUGAUCUUAGAACUGGAAGAAGCUUUUAACCGAUCUUAUAACUGAUAUGAUAUUCUUUCUUUCUUUAGAAUAUGAUUAAACUACGGGCCAAGCUACUGGGCAAGUCACAUAUACAAAGACUGAUUAUCCUACUGAUUCUCUUUCGUCACCAACUAAUACAGAUGAAACAAAUCAUUCCACUCGCUAACUACAGGCUCGGCUCAUCUAACUCAAUUCAUUUCUUUUCUACCUGAAUUAGGCUCACAAACACAUAGCAAGUAUCAGGUGCAUCUACCGGGGUCAACAACUACAGAUGAAACAGGAUCACUACUAGUUGGGGCAAGAACUAGACUUUCUUCAUAACAGACCUCAACUCAAGCUUUCAUUAUAUAUUAGGCCCGCUCUUGCUUCUGUUGAAACUACUGAUUCUCGGGUUACUCCUGACUUCGGGCUUACUCAACCCUAGUAACUGACUGAAUAACUAGUAACUGACUUCAUAACUAGUAACGGACUUCGGGCUAACUCAUAACUAGUAACUUCCUUCCUAGCCUAGUAACUUCAUUAAACAAGUAAGUCAACUCAUUCUUCUUUCUGAACUGAAAGUCCAGUGUUCGCCUUAUGUACUAGGUCUUAUACUAGAUGCUUACUCCUAGAUGCAGAGAAUUCAUACCAAUAGUACUGGAUCUGAUCUCAGUUACCACAAAUCUCCCCAUUAUUGAAUUAGUCGUUUCUUCUGCCCUUAAUUAAUUGGCUUAAGGAGUGAAUUCAAGCUAUUCCACUAAGGAAGUCCAGCUAUUCCACUAAGGUAAAUAACCUAUCUUCUUUCUACAAUACAUAUGAAACAGGACAACUACUUAAAGGGGCAAUAACUAGACUUUCAUAACGGACCUUGAACUAGACUAACACGAAUUAGAAUAAGGUCUCUUUCCUUUAAGAAUGGAGUUUGGAACUUUCUAGCUAAAUCCUCUGAUUCGACUGGACCACUCUACUACUAUCGGUGGGCUUACUCUACCUUAUGUACUAGGACAAUUCUGUAAUUCAAUUGCUUCAUAGCUUAACUACAGCACCGAACCUUUCUCUUUGAAACCACCAACAAGGGAUUCCACUCGCCAACUAGUGCUUUUAACCUAACCUACCGCCAAACAACUACCCUCGCAUCAAAGCUGAUACUUGUUUCUGACACCGAGUCACAAAAUACUGAUCGCGCAGAAGGUUACUUAUUUAGCCUAAUUGAACUCCGUAGCCAGAGAAAGAUUAGAUGGAAAGGCUUCGGUUAUUGUUGCCAGAGAAGAGGAUAGGCGCAUCACCCUGAAAACAGCCCUUUUACGGGGAUCAACCAAAUGCAGAUUUCUGGGCCCGAAAACAAUCCGCCUUUCGAAUGGAAUGUGAGUGCUACCUAUGAUAUAUGUGUGUAAUAAGCCCGAUCCCGACCCUUGUAAAUGAAGAGUUGCGGUCACCACUCGACCCUAAUAGAUUGAUUCGCUGGAUUUCUUUCUUUAUAAAUAAGCUUUAUCUUUAUCAGAAGAUUCCACUCAGGAUUCCACUGGCCCUUGACCUUGAACUGAACCUUUCCACUGCUUCCAUGAACCCUGCCCCUCUCCCUCUAGCAACUGGCUACAAUUCUCUGUGCUAAGCUCUGUGCUAAGUGAUUUCUUUAUGGAAUUUCUGAUGACACUCGGUAUUCCACUCU
rnacentral:lncRNA from 1 species